rnacentral:rRNA from 1 species
GACGAACGCUGGCGGCGCGCUUAACACAUGCAAGUCGAACGGAAAGGCCUGCUUUCCCUUGUGGAUUGCGGGUACUCGAGUGGCGAACGGGUGAGUAACACGUGAGUGAUCUGCCCCCAACUUGGGUAUAAGCCUGGGAAACUGGGUCUAAUUCCCGAUAGGACUGCAGGGUGGUGCCUGUGGUGGAAAACGAUUUUCUAGUGGUUGGGGAUGAGCUCGCGGCCUAUCAGCUUGUUGGUGGGGUAAUGACCUACCAAGGCGGCGACGGGUAGCCGGCCUGAGAGGGUGGACGGCGACAGUGGGACUGAGAUACGGCCCAGACUCCUACGGGAGGCAGCAGUGGGGAAUAGUGCACAAUGGGCGGAAGCCUGAUGCAGCGACGCCGCGCGGGGGAUGACGGCCUUCGGGUGGUAAACUCCUUUCGACCGCGAGGAAGCCACCUGGUUGGAAGGGUGGUGACGGUAGUGGUAGAAGAAGCACCGGCUAACUACGUG